UCUAGUAUAAGCAAUCUAUACGGUGAAACUGCGAAUGGCUCAUUAAAUCAGUUAUCGUUUAUUUGAUAGUACCUUACUACUUGGAUAACCGUGGUAAUUCUAGAGCUAAUACAUGCUAAAAACCCCGACUUCGGAAGGGGUGUAUUUAUUAGAUAAAAAACCAAUGCCCUUCGGGGCUCCUUGGUGAUUCAUAAUAACUUAACGAAUCGCAUGGCCUUGUGCCGGCGAUGGUUCAUUCAAAUUUCUGCCCUAUCAACUUUCGAUUGUAAUGUAGUGGAUUACAAUGGUUUCAACGGGUAACGGGGAAUUAGGGUUCUAUUCCGGAGAGGGAGCCUGAGAAACGGCUACCACAUCCAAGGAAGGCAGCAGGCGCGCAAAUUACCCAAUCCCGACACGGGGAGGUAGUGACAAUAAAUACUGAUACAGGGCUCUUUUGGGUCUUGUAAUUGGAAUGAGUACAAUUUAAAUCCCUUAACGAGGAACAAUUGGAGGGCAAGUCUGGUGCCAGCAGCCGCGGUAAUUCCAGCUCCAAUAGCGUAUAUUAAAGUUGUUGCAGUUAAAAAGCUCGUAGUUGAACCUUGGGCCUGGCUGGCCGGUCCGCCUCACCGCGUGCACUGGUCCGGCCGGGCCUUUCCUUCUGGGGAGCCGCAUGCCCUUCACUGGGUGUGUCGGGGAACCAGGACUUUUACUUUGAAAAAAUUAGAGUGUUCAAAGCAGGCCUAUGCUCGAAUACAUUAGCAUGGAAUAAUAGAAUAGGACGUGUGGUUCUAUUUUGUUGGUUUCUAGGACCGCCGUAAUGAUUAAUAGGGAUAGUCGGGGGCAUCAGUAUUCAAUUGUCAGAGGUGAAAUUCUUGGAUUUAUUGAAGACUAACUACUGCGAAAGCAUUUGCCAAGGAUGUUUUCAUUAAUCAGUGAACGAAAGUUAGGGAUCGAAGACGAUCAGAUACCGUCGUAGUCUUAACCAUAAACUAUGCCGACUAGGG
rnacentral:rRNA from 1 species